UGGUGUAACAGUAGCACACUCGGCUCGUAUUCGAGAGGUCCAGGUUCGAGUCCCGG
rnacentral:tRNA from 1 species